CCCUUAGAUGCUCUGGGCCGCACGCGCGCUACACUGGUCGAUGCAACGAGUUUCUUUCCUUGGCCGACAGGCCUGGGCAAUCUUUGAACAUCGAUCGUGAUCGGGAUAGAUUCUUGUAAUUUUUGAUCUUAAACGAGGAAUUCCUAGUAAACGCAAGUCAUCAGCUUGCAUUGAUUACGUCCCUGCCCUUUGUACACACCGCCCGUCGCACCUACCGAUUGAAUGGUCCGGUGAAAUCUUCGGAUCUGAGAGAUGUCUGAUUAAUUUCGGACGCCUUUUGGAAAAGCUGCUUAAACCUUACCAUUUAGAGGAAGGUGAAGUCGUAACA
rnacentral:rRNA from 1 species